GUUGAUGAAUGUCGACUGAACUUAAGAGAACAAUCUAAAGGAGAAAGGGGAAAAAGGAAGUCGUACAAAAUAAAAAGAAAGAGUGAAAUCGAAAAACCAAUAAAAGAAGAUUCUUGUGUAACUGCUACAAAAUACACAAGCCUAUUGGACCACUUCUUAGGGCCGGAUCAACCAUUUUAAUUCAAAAUACCUAUAGAGUAUAAGUUCUAUACAUCAGAUAAUAUGUAUCAUGUUUUGUAUUUACUUGAUAAAACAUGGAUAGUCAAUAGGUAGGUAUAUAAUCAAUGAUGCUUCUAGAAAAUAAUUUUUAUAACUAUAAAUUUCACUAUAAUUAGUAUGAAUUAGUUAUUUGAUAAUUAGCGAUAACAGCCAUAAUGCUGCUAUUCCACAUAGGGAAAAAGUCGCAUCUGUAUUCGUGAUUAAAUGUGAUGGAGGCACUUUUCUAUGUAUCCUUGCAAACUUUUUCAAUUCAGUCCAUGGUAGAUAUACAUGCAAUAGAUCUGGGAUCAUGAACCCAAUAUCCCUUAGGAUUUGAUGUAAUUGACCUUGUUGUUUGAGAACGUUCUCCACAAAUUGAUCCCAACCACUGGCCAGAAUAUGAAACGUUGCAAUACUAUGGAAAUGAUUAAAAAUAGGGUGUAGAUAUGAAGAGGAGGAAAAUGUAAUUAUUACCUUAUAAUAAUGAGGAUUUUUUGAGGAGAGAUAACGGAUUUUUUCGAACAUAUGAGGCUCAAAACAAGUAGUGUUGAUAUACCCUCAGUCGUUGUAAAAAUAAGUUGAUGCCAGAACUGAUCAUAGUAAUCGUCGUUUACAUAAUUAAAAUAGACCCACCAGGCAUAAUAAUGUGGAUAAAUGACAGAAACGAACAAAAUAACAAAUUUGAGCCGUGCAGUUCCUUUAUAGAUACAAUACAAAACGAAUUUUAAUGCCUCAUAGAAAAUAAUAAAGCAUAGGCACAUUGAAAUCCACAUGAUCAUCGUAUUUUGAGUUGCGUUGAAGUAAACAUGCUUAUAACCAGCAACCCCUGUUUCAUAUCCAGCUUUUGAAAGAGAGGUAGAUUUAUCAUCUAUUAAUUAUCAAUCUACGGAUAUAUUUAAAACUUUUAUGACUUACCCUUAAAUAUCGUGUCCCAGCAAGAACAGCUACAAUGCUCCUUGCUCACAUCGACAUCGUAUUGCUUCCAGAGUUUAUAUAUGAAUCCGAAUUGAAAAAUGGGUAUAAAUAUCGGAAUAGAGAGUGCUAAAACACUAAUAACGAACAAGGAGUAUCUUGACAUGUCUAUGUCUUUUCUAUCUAUCCGGAAUUAUAACCACAUUAAAUAAUUAUUAAUUUAAAAGGAAAUAAAUAAUUAAUUUAUAUAACUUUAUGUCCCUAUCAAGAUUUUGGUUCAUGACAGGUACAGGAAUGAAAAUACCAGGAGACAUCAUGUCAUUUGUUAUAUUUUAUUUCGUUUAAGGAAAUAUUAUUAGAUAUUAUAAGACAUUGUCAAUUAUAUGAAUUAUUCUUCUUCAUCCGACUUAUUUGUCUCGGGGACAACUUCAUUUUUUUUGGUGUUCACCAUCUCUGCAUACAAAACACAAUCGAAAAGAAUUUAUCUAAUGCUACAAUAUAAAUUUACCUGGGGUCCCAUUGGUAUGAAGUUCAUCAACAAAUGUCAAAUUCAAAUCCUUUGGAACCUUUAUUCCAUUAGUAGUUGAUGCCAAACUGCACAUGAUUAGUAGAGCAACAAAAAUCUAUGAAAACAAUCAUAUUCUUACUUUAAAGGUAUUUAUUGAUUUUGGAUAGGUAUUACCCAGGAAAAUAUUCUCAUUUUGACGUUGAUCCUCUUUGAUUAAUGGAGUCACUGAUAGUGAUAUCCUUAUAUUCAAUUUUAAUCAUAUUUAUACCUAAAUUAAGUAUAUUGCAUUUAUUAGUCAUAAACUCAUAUAUGCUGGUAUUUGUUGAUCUACAAAGGAAAGCAAUUAUUUCGAGAAUAUUAACACAAUAAAUAUUAAUAUAUCAUGCACCACAUAAUUUAUUCUUUAUGAUUUUAAUUUCCUAAUAUUGUAUUAAAUGAAUCAUUUAGGUUAUCAAAGUAUUAUAGUUUCGUAUUUGUUAGAAGACUUACAAAUUGAUUAGCCCUUAUUUUUGUAUUAAUUAUCACAAGUUAACAAAUUUUUGCCCUUGGAUUAAAAUGGUAAAAUUAAUAUGAGAAAAUUCAGUAAAAUUUAAUUAUGAAAGGUAAUUUACGAAAUAAAUGGAAAUUCCUUUACUAAAAAUAAGUUAAUGUGAGAAAAAAAAAUUGAAAAAAAAGGAAAUUCUUAUAAAAAUUAAAUUCAAAUUUUCAAAAAGGAAAAAAAAAAGACCCUCCACUUUUAUCUUUCCCCCAGACCCGCUCACAAUAAGGCCAAAUGGCUAUGUACAAUGUAUAUACGCAUCAAGGAGGGAGGGUGCAAAUAAUUGAGAGCAUACUUAGUACAAGGUCCCUAAAACUAACCCUGUGCAGAGUAAUUUUUGGUAAAAA
rnacentral:lncRNA from 1 species